UCGGCGGCUCACACUUGACGCAUGACUCAGGCUUCACCGGCUGCCCUUCGAUAAGAGAGGACGGGGAGGGAUAGCUCGGUGGUUUGAGCAUUGGCCUGCUAAACCCAGGAUUCCUGAGGGUCGCGCUGAACCAACGGUGUCUUCUCAAAUGCCCUGGCUGCGCAAAAGGACGUCCCUUCGGCAAGCGGGCUGAGAUCCUCCCCCCGCCCGGUUCUUCCAAUGCCCGGGCUAGCUCCUGUGCGAAUACGCCCCACAACAGACCCAGGUCUGGAAGCUGAUCGCUGCCAAUUUGGGGACCCACGAAAAAAACGUCACCCCAAGCGAGCGCCAAGAUGGGCCCCCCGAGGAUGCGGCGGAGAUGGAGCUGGGCGCUGGUGCUCUAUGUGAGCAUCAUCUUCAGCAUCUCUGUGCUGUGGAGGCUUCAGAGCCGGGUGUCCCAGCUCAAGAUAGUGUUGGCGGCCGGCAAAGGAGCGAGGCGGGACCCCAAACAUCCCUGCCGGACCAUGGACCGAAACAGGAGCCCCAUGUGCGUGGGGAGGGCAGGGGGGAGGGGCUUUGAGGGCACUGGCCU